rfam:Ictidomys tridecemlineatus contig076541, whole genome shotgun sequence.
GGAGGUAUAGUUCAAUGGUAGAGCACUUGCCUAGGACGAGCAAGGCCCUGGGUUCAAUACCCAGUAACUGCG